rnacentral:rRNA from 1 species
UACGUAGGGUGCAAGCGUUGUCCGGAAUUAUUGGGCGUAAAGAGCUCGUAGGCGGUCUGUCGCGUCUGCUGUGAAAACUCAGGGCUUAACCCUGAGCUUGCAGUGGGUACGGGCAGACUAGAGUGCGGUAGGGGAGACUGGAAUUCCUGGUGUAGCGGUGAAAUGCGCAGAUAUCAGGAGGGAACACCGGUGGCGGAAGGCGGGUCUCUGGGACGGUAC